rnacentral:rRNA from 1 species
AAAUCCGCUUUGAUAAUGCUGGGAUGUGAUGGGGAGCGAAAUUUAGUAGCGAAGUAGCUGAUUUCACACUGUCAAGAAAAGUCUCUAUCGAGGGUAAAGGUACCCGUACCGCAAACUGACACAGGUGGGUGAGGAGAGUAUCCUAAGGCCUGCGAGAGAACUGUUGUUAAGGAAAUCGGCAAAAUGACCCCGGAACUUAGGGAUAAGGGGUGACACCAUCA